GUGACUGGCGGGCAGGGCGGUGGGUGCAGGCGUAGGGGGAAAGCGGUGUUCGGAAGUACUGGGCGUAAAGGGGUCGUAGGCGUCCUGUGAAGGCGAACGUGAAAUCCCCGGGCGCAACCCGGGAACGUCGUCCGAGACUGGCAGGCUUGAAUUCGGGAGAGGGAUGGGGAAUUCCAGGUGGAGCGGUGAAAUGCGUAGAUAUCUGGAGGAACACCGGUGGCGAAGGCGGCAUCCUGGACCGAUAUUGACGCUGAUGCGCGAAAGCCAGGGGAGCAAACAGGAUUAGAUACCCGUGUAGUC
rnacentral:rRNA from 1 species